rnacentral:lncRNA from 1 species
GAAUAAAUAAAUAAAUAAAAAACAAGUCGUGAUUCGCUAGCAACCAAAAUCCGAGAUAAACAGGGAAACAGAACAUGCAAGGCAAGCAACAGUAGAGGUAAACGCUACAUCGAGUGCCAUAAAGAAGUAUGCAACAGCUCACUUACUCGCGCAUUAUCUGCAACGUACAAGUCUCACGAAGGAGGAAACGAAAUUGUUUCCUGAUC